UAAUGUUAACAUAUAAAAACGUACAAACAUUAUUACAGUUUGUUAUCGUGUAUUGCGGGAAUAUUCUAGUCUAGCGGAAAGGAUGAUUUUUUUGCAUAUUUUGCAAAUAUUUGAUAUAGAAAAUAUGUCUGCAAGAAGAUUUAGCUUGAUUCACAAAAUUGAUAAAGUUAUAGCACCUGGUAAGGAGCGAUUUCCGCCGCGCGCUCAGCAUUCCGGCUGCGAUUUGGUUAGGUUCGGCUAAUGAAUUGCUGAAACGUUGUUUAGGAGAAACACAAAAUAAUAACUAAAGCUUUUUAAAUGUACUGAUUUGGAUUUUUGCUCCAAAACAUCAUCAUUCUGGGGCAAAGAUUGAAGUGGCAACUUUUCUGCAUGCGGAGAUGUACGCAAAUUUUCGGAAGAAAACUCGCACGAAACAGCGUUCAACUGAUUUCCUUAAAGAUGAGAGACUAAAUCGCAGGGAAGAGAGAACAGCGCAGUAAGACUUUUAUAUGCAGGAGGAAGGUUCCCUGCAUGGCCCUACACUAGCUGAUUGAUCAUUUUAGAAGCAGAAUAGCCAGAAUCAUAAGAGCCAUGCCAGAACAGUCAUCAUAAGAAUAAAUUUUUUUAUUACCUUAUUCAAUUUUGUGUAUUACACUUAUUUAUAAUUAUUUUUUAGUAAAAAAAUUUGGAAAUGUACUUCAAGUACAUAUAAGUUUUUUGGAUGCGGUGAGAAAAUUCACAUCCCAAAAAAUUUACAUCCCUAAAAACUUACUUAAAAAAAUUUGAAAAAAUAACAUAAAAAUUCAGCUUCUAGACUAGAACACUCUCUUAAUACCCCCUUGUGUGAACAUAACAAUGCAAAGUAGAAGACAAAUAAUGAACUAAAUAAAUAAAAAAAUAAUAGGAAUUGCUAUACUGGUCGAAACAUUAAAAUUGUAAAAAAUAAUACUAAAUAAAUCCGGUCGGAGCAAACAUUAUUUUUUUAAGUAACGGAAUUUUCAUGUGACAAGUAAAUUACGCAUUGUACAAAUAAACUCUAUUUUAAUAAGACUCACAUCCAGUGUUGUAAUAAUUUUUCUCAUUCGAAAUACUUAAUUAUUUCGGUUGCACUAAAGUUUGC